rnacentral:lncRNA from 1 species
AUUUUCCAGGUUCUGAGGCGCGGGCCCGAGGGUCGACUUUUGGACCGAUUUUUGGAUUUUGGUAAACAUUGAGACUUUAUGAUCCAGAAUAGUUUCUUAUGUGUUUUAUUUGUGCUUUGAAGUUAAUUUGAUUAGAUUUGAGCCGUCUGGAGUUCUUUUCACCCGAGAAGUGCAUUUUAGAGUGUCGGUUUGUCAUCUAUGAGGAAAGUAUCUUGUCUAACCUUAUGUGGGGGACUUCCCCUUUAGGAUUGAGUCUUCUUUGCUAAUUGCAGUCCGUGCAUGCGAGGUGACGAGUCUAUGCUUGGACUUAUUUGUGGGAAAUAUGCUCUAGGGUUCUUAGGUCCUUAUGUUCAAUAUGUGGAAAGUAUUCCGUUAUGAUUGGGUUUAAUAAUUUCUUAAAUUGUCUCUAUAUGCUCCAUAUGAUGUUGUUAGCUUUUAUCUAAUUCUUAUAUGUUGUAUUGACCCUUAAUUGCCUUAAUUGAAGUGAUUGCCUUCCUUUUUGUUUUGACACUUCUUGAUUGUGAGUUCCUCUAUGACUUCAUGCAAAUAUGUUACAUGCCUAAUUGUUGUGGUUACCGGUGUAGUUAUCACGUUCUUAUUAUGUCUUAUUGUUUAGUUGAGGUUUCAUUGUGAAGUUAAUUGUUGGUACAAGUUUGGUUAUAGUUGAUUCCCUUGCCGGGACAUAUUUAAUUCUUUCUGUUGGUUCCCUUGCCGGGAUGUGUUUAUUCUUGUUGUUGACUCCCUUGCCGGGAUACUGUUGUUUCCAUAUUGUUCCCUUGCCAGGAUUCUUUAGUGAUUGGUGUUGGUUUGUAUAUUGGGAUCAGGUUGCACGCUACAACAAUAUUAUAUGAUUUGGAUCGAGUUGCACGCCACAACAAUGUUAUAUGAUUUGGAUCAGGUCGCACGCCGCAACAUCCUUAUAUGAUUUGGAUCGGGUUGUACGCCGCAACAAUAUUAUAUGAUUUGGAUCGGGUUGCGCGCCACAACAGUACUUUAUGAUUGGGAUCAGGUUGCAUGCUGCAACAAGAAAGGAUAAAAGAGAAUAAUUACUCUUAUGGUGAGAACGAGAGUUGAAGCACGAAGGGUGAUGUCGUGCACUUUCUGCUGCUGUGUUUAUUUGUUGUUAUCAAUUCAAGUGUUUAAACUGUUUAAAUCACUUUAUUGAUGUGAUCCUUUGUGAUGACCCAAAAGGUCAUCACUUGAUUUACGAGUAUAUUCUAUGUUUCAAGGCCUUAGAAACCUCUUUUUUCCUCACUUCAAUUUGCGUGCGUAGUCCAGGCGUAUAUCUGGAACGCUUUUAUGUGGAAAUGUGAUGAAAAUGUUAAUUUGCCUUUAAAAUUUAAUUUAAGUUGACUUCGGUCAACAUUUUGAGUAAACGGACUUGGACC